rnacentral:rRNA from 1 species
UUUUCCUACGGGACGCAGCAGUGGGGGAUAUUGCACAAUGGGGGAAACCCUGAUGCAGCGACGCCGCGUAGGCGAAGAAGUAUUUCGGUAUGUAAAGCCCUAUCAGCAGGGAAGAAGAAAUGACGGUACCUGAGUAAGAAGCACCGGCUAAAUACGUGCCAGCAGCCGCGGUAAUACGUAUGGUGCAAGCGUUAUCCGGAUUUACUGGGUGUAAAGGGAGCGUAGGCGGCGCGUUAAGUCUGAUGUGAAAACCCGAGGCUCAACCACGGGAGUGCAUUGGAAACUGGCGGGCUGGAGUGCCGGAG